AUGGGAUGGAGCACACCUAAUCCUAUAUGGUGUUAGAUAUGGAAGUUGUCUUGUCCGGCUAAAGUCAAAAAAAAAUUAUGGCGGACACUACAUGGCACUCUCCCAUGUCGGGCAACACUCACUAAUAGACAUAUGAAGGUCUCGCCCUCUUGCCCUACCUGCUCUCAGGGUGUAGAAGAUACGAAGCACUUGCUCUUCCUAUGUAGAAAAGCGAAGGAGGUUUGGAUAAGGCUAGGGUUGGAUAUGAUUAUUGAGAGAGCUUGUGAGAUUGAUCGUGCUGGAGAGGCAACAUUGGAAUACCUAUUACUCCUUCCAGAUCAAGUCCUGCGCAUUAUGGGCCACGAAAAUGUUAGAGAAGUGAUAGCUAUCUCAGUUUGGUAUCUAUGGUGGGAAAGACGGAAAUUAGUGCACCAGGAACUAACUCAAAAUGCGACUCAGAUCUCAAUCGGGAUCAUAGUUCUUACAUAUAAUUUUGUAAAUGCAUCAUCUUCAAAGGCGUCCAUGAAAAAGGGGGGUUGUCAAUGUCCUCCUAGGGGAUUUGUGAAACUCAAUGUUGACGCCUUUUUUGAUCAUGACUUGUUGGAGGGUACGAUGGGGGCAGUAUUGAGAGACGACUAAGGUAGGUUUAUUGCAGGAGGGAAUGGAAAGAUAGACCAUUGCGCAGAUGUUCUCAUGGCGGAGGCCUUAGCUCUCAAAUUUGGCCUAAAUUUAGCGCAAAUGGCAGGAUGUAAUCGCCUAAUCAUCAACUCGGACAAGCUGGAGGUGAUUGAGACCAUGCAGGACGAAGGACAGUCAGCGGGAGCGGCGGCGGCAAUCUUCGAUGACUGCUAUCACUAUGCUUGUGAUUUUAUCAUGUCUAAAUUCGAACAUUGUAAUAGAGAGGCUAAUAAAGUAGCACAUGAACUUGCUAGAUUAGCUAGAUUUUUUCCAACUUCGGAUUGGUUUGAGGAGCUUAUUAGUGAAAUUGUAACGCUUCUCACAAACGAUGUAUUGGUUAUUGCUAAUGAAUAA
rnacentral:rRNA from 1 species